UUUGCUUUUAAUAAGACUUCUUAUUAAAUAUUAUUUUUUUUCCAUGUUGCAUUCGCUGUUUUAUCUACUUCCUAGGGGCGAGAUCGAAAGUUCAAUGUCUGACAAAAAAACUAAAUUCACAUAGUUUUUACGUCCCCCCCCCCCCCUAUCCGCCCCCACAACGACCCCCUAAACUAGAUAUGAUGAGUGUUUAAACUAUAAUCGAUUAACAAGUAAGAACAAACGCGUAUAAAUAACUCUGUAUACCCUAUCUUCUGUUUAUUCACAAAUGAAAGUGUAGAUUAAAACUAUCAAAUGUUCAUUAAAAUGUAAUAUCGUCAUGUACUUUUAACAGUCACUUGUCUUUCUCCUUUUUCGACUAAUGUGUAAUCGAUGUCGGAUGAGAGAAACUUACAGAAGUUUUAACACCCCCCCCCCUAACUAUUUGAAUUUAGAUUUUUAUCCGAAAUCAAUCUGUUGAUCUCGCCCCUUACAGUUUUUUAUAUCAAAUUUCUUACUGUUUUUAACAUCUGAGAGAAUUAGGGUUUGAUUAAUUAUGUUAAUUAAAUAAUACUCUGUAUACUUUCUAUCAAAUCGUAUUUCUCUCCAUAUUGCGUUCAUUGCUUUAUUUAUUUCUUACAGUUUUAAUAGUUCAGCUAAUUAGGGUUUAAUUAGUAAUCUUAAUUAGUAAAAAAAAUCCCAACAAUUUUCUUUGCCUUCUUUAUCGUAAACACAUUUCUUUACGAAAUUAUUCGACGUACGACUUAUCUUUCUAUCUAUGAUCAGGGGCAAGUAACUCGUGGGUCACCUGCUUUUGAGGGAUACCAUCUAGUCAUAACCUAAAGGAGUACUCUUUAUAUAGUAAAUUCGACCCCAAGCGAUACAAUAGGGUCGGAAAGUCUCGUCAUGUGACUCGCGAGAAAUAACGUGAAAUCGUACUUCCGGGCAGUUGUCAGGAUGGCAUUAUCAAUAAUGUACUAGACUCGCUACGUUCAAAACCACAUAGAGCUUACUACAAAAAGCGAUAGAGCGGUGGAUAACAACUGGGUUGAGAAUAUGUGUUCUAGAUAGAGCUCUGAGUUAUUACAAAGGUUGUCCAAGCGUCAAUACGAGACAUUUUCCAACAAAAUAUAAAAGGGCAAACAACACAGCUGGAUAAAGCAUCUUAAGUCUGGACUUCGUAAAGCUAUGACAAUGAGAGAAAUGUAUCCACCCAGGCAAUCAGAAUAUAGAGUGCAGCUCAAAGAGAGACAUAGUUAUUCGGCAUCAAGUUUUCCAUCAGCUUUACCUCACAGGCACCACUUGUGAUUUCAUAGUUUGAACACCAAUGAACAUGGAAGUGAUUCUCAUCCUUUGAGAUGAAUUAUGGGAAUUAUACUUGGCAUACAUGAUUGAGUCUUUGUGCCCUCUCCGCAAUAACCAACUAGACAGACUUGUGAAAAUUCAAAUGUCUUCCAUUAGUUUUAUUUUGUUUUUGCUACAAUUGAUCAGUGUAAAGAUGUGCAUGAAUCACCAUUGUAACAAUUUCUUUGACUAGCAACCUUAAAUAAAUGUUCACUUUAUCA